UGGCUCAGAACGAACGCUGGCAGCGUGGAUUAGGCAUGCAAGUCGAACGGGAAGCCUGGCCUUCAAUCUUCGGAGAGAAAGCCAGGUGGAGAGUGGCGGAAGGGUGAGUAACGCGUGGGUAACCUGCCCCCAAGUUGGGGAUAACUUCGCGAAAGUGGAGCUAAUACCGAAUGUGGACAUCUCGGGCAUCCGAGGAGGUCCAAAGGUGGGGAUCUUAGGACCUGCCGCUUGGCGAGGGGCCCGCGUACUAUCAGCUUGUUGGUGGGGUAAUGGCUCACCAAGGCUAAGACGGUUAGCUGGUCUGAGAGGAUGGUCAGCCACACUGGGACUGAGACACUGCCCAGACUCCUACGGGAGGCUGCAGUCGAGAAUCAUUUGCAAUGCGCGAAAGCGUGACAAUGCGACGCUGCGUGGGGGAUGAAGGUCUUCGGAUUGUAAACCCCUGUCAUUCGGGAACAAAGCAACUGGGUUAAUACCCUCUGUUGUCUGAUUGUACCGAAAGAGGAAGCCACGGCUAACUCUGUGCCAGCAGCCGCGGUAAUACAGAGGUGGCAAGCGUUGUUCGGAUUUACUGGGCGUAAAGGGUACGUAGGUGGGCUUGUAUGUCGGAUGUGAAAUCUCACUGCUCAACGGUGAAACGUCAUUCGAAACUGCAAGUCUGGAGUACAGGAGAGGAGAGCGGAAUUCUUGGUGUAGCGGUGAAAUGCGUUGAUAUCAAGAAGAACACCGGCGGCGAAGGCGGCUCUCUGGUCUGUUACUGACACUGAGGUACGAAAGCUGGGGGAGCGAACAGGAUUAGAUACCCUGGUAGUCCCAGCCGUAAACGGUGUGCACUUGGUGUGGGGGGAAUUGACCCCCUCCGUGCCGGAGCUAACGCGUUAAGUGCACCGCCUGGGGAGUACGGCCGCAAGGUUAAAACUCAAAGAAAUUGACGGGGGCCCGCACAAGCGGAGGAGCAUGUGGCUUAAUUCGAUGCAACGCGAAGAACCUUACCAGGGCUUGACAUGUAGCUGCACGCCUGCUGAAAAGCGGGAAGCUUUCGAAGGUGCUACACAGGUGCUGCAUGGCUGUCGUCAGUUCGUGCCGUGAGGUGUUGGGUUAAGUCCCGCAACGAACGCAACCCUUGUGGUUAGUUGCCACUUCCGGUGGUUCGCCGGAAAGCACUCUAGCCAGACUGCCCGUACAAGCGGGAGGAAGGUGGGGAUGACGUCAAGUCAGUAUGGCCCUUACGCCCUGGGCUGCACACGUGCUACAAUGGUCGGUACAAUAGGACGCAAUACCGCGAGGUGGAGCCAAUCCUCAAAGCCGGCCUCAGUUCGGAUUGGAGUCUGCAACUCGACUCCAUGAAGUUGGAUUCGCUAGUAAUGGCUCAUCAGCUACGGAGCCGUGAAUACGUUCCGGGCCUUGUACACACCGCCCGUCACAUCAUGAAAGCCGUCUGCACCCGAAGUCGCUGAGCCAACUUUCACGAGAGGCAAGCGCCGAAGG
rnacentral:rRNA from 1 species